UUUAAUUAAGCAUAGAAAUAAUUUUAAAUUUGUGGUUGUCCAACAUUAAUGGCAGUAAACAUUACAGAAAUAUUUGCUGUACAUCUGUCAAUAUCAUGGUACCUCAAUGAUCAGUUUAGGUGAUUCAACUUUCUGACUUUGAACACAACAAACAUUUUACAAAGAUCAGAGUCUCUCUGGGUGGAAUGGUGAUACAAUGUGCUCUGAAUUUUUUAUUUUAUUUUUGAUUUUAUACUAAAAUUAAAAAGAACAUUUACAUAUUACUACAUUUACAUAUAUCAUUUGCAUACAGUUGUACAAGAUUUUACAUACUAUAUGUGCAAUCUAUUUCCUUUAAUUAUCAAACAGGUUUUAGAGAAAAUAUGUCUCGGCAAAUUAAACAGCUAGGGCUUUUUUCUCUCUUUCCCUAAGCAAAUAAAUGUUAAUUUACUAUUUAAAUAUACGCAUACACUAAACCCUCGUGUUGCGUGAACUUACCUUCCUGUUGAAUAUUUUUCACAGCCAUGAGCACAUCUGCAUAAUGCUAGGGGGUCUUUUUCAUUAUUAAAUUAAUGUAUUGUUAGUGCUUUUGUUCCACGGUUCAACUACACACUCAUCCUUAUCCUACUCCCACCCCCACACACAGACAAGACCAAAGGCCAAGGCCACACGAGUGUGUAACUCCAGCUGGCCUGUUAAUGUCUACUGUAGUCCAGCUGCUUUCUCUUUCACUGUGCAAGCUUAACUCUGCUCACCCAGUGGUCUCUGAAAGGAAAAAAAAAUAAUAAAACAAUGCUGAGAUCUGGGGUGGAAAAAAAAGAUGGGGGAAAAAGAGAUGGAGGGGGAGUAGCAGUAGGCGUCUGUGAAAGGCAUUAGGCAGCGAUUGCCUCAGCACGCUCCUGGCUGUGUUUAAUGAAUCACUGAAGGAGAGAGAGAAAGAGAAAAGGAGUAAUCCAUAUAGAGAGCUAAAGGCGGUAUGGGCCCUACUGAUAGGAGGUGGGGGUCAUGGCUGCGCUCUCUCAGCGCCCGAAAGAAAAGAUUCAAACUAAAAAAUAUCCAAGGGAUUUUUUUUUUUUUAGAAAGGGGUGCUUUUGUGCCAGGGAGAAAAGCAGCAUCUGCUGUAACGGUGAUCAGACUGCCAAGUCAGCGUGACCGCACUGUUUCAUGAGGCCUGAGGCUCCAUCGCUCCCUCUCUGUACCCUCACCCCCCUUUCACUCAUCCGCUGAUUAGGAGGCAAGAUCAAUGAGGUAAUGCCAGAGACGGCUCGGCUUACAGCAGCCACCCAAACGGCCACUUCGAUUCAGCCCUGUGUCUGUUCUGUGCAGAACAAUAGAAGCAGAAGCGAGGCAUUGAGUCGCUACUACGGCUCGCCCAUCUGUUUCCCACUAGAGAGGGCUAAGGAAAGAAAAACGUAAAAGUAUCCACACCGGCCUGCUUUAUUGUUCUUUUGGAAGUGCUGACUAAGCCAAAAACGAGGCCAAUCCACUUGUCACUUUUUGAAAUUAUGCUCCAAAGGCAGGAGAUGCAGCAAAACGAGGCAGUCAGGAAAUGAUGAUUAGUGCUCCCUGCUGAGCCAAAUCAAGGCCAGCACUGAUAAACAGCCCACAGGCCAUAGCACAGCAUGCUGGAAGUUUAGUUAAACAGUAUACAAGGUGUUUUGGAGAAGACUCUACCAUAUGGCCAGGCGAGGGAUUCUCCCAGAUGACCACACAUGUCCAACACAUUCUGUCAAACAUUUUAAUGAUAAUCUCUAUUUAUCAGUUUUCAUUGAUCAUGCUGUGGUUUUUCAAACACUUGAGCUUAUGUCGGGUUGGGGGAGAGGUGGAGAAGAAUGAGUAGGAGCUGGAUGAGAGGACUAAGAGAGAUUGGAGAUAAAGUGCUCAAAGGAUGGUGGGAGAUGGAAGCACAGACCGAGGAGAUUGUUAUUUGGCCCGGCUUUCUGAAAGUGGAUCAUUACAGGACAACAAUGUCAAGCCUGGAAUCAAGAAGCACUCUAUGGCCACUUAUUAUGUGUAUGUGUUUGUUUACUUGGUUUUGUGUGUGUGUGAGAGAGACUCUUUCUCUAUCUCACAGUAAACAUCUGAAUCAGUGCUUGUGGAAGUGCAAGUGCUUCAUUUCACUUCAGUGUUGCUCCUGGUGUCUCUGCUUAUUGAUUUUGCAGUGACAUUAGACAUUUCUGUACGUUUUUUUGUAACUGCACAACCUGUGAGUGACAAUUACAUUACACAUGUUGCCAAAGGCCUUUUUAGCACCUCCCAAGUCUUUGUCUGCAAUUCUGCUAGCAAUGCAUUUAGAUCACGAUUUGUCCUCUUUUCGUAUUACAGCGCUGUUCGGUCACCCACUUUUACAUGGUAACUGUUUUUUUAGACUGACCGAUUUGUGUUGCUCUUUCUUGUUUUCAAUAAAGCUGCAUCGAUUCACAACAGGAAAGUGAUUGUGAGUCAUUGAAUCUAAAUGGAUCUGAUUUUCUUUUCUAUUUGAGGAGUGCUAUUGUUUAAAGAUUGUUACCAGGGCUUAUGCAUGACAUGAUCCA